rnacentral:rRNA from 1 species
AUUGAACGCUGGCGGCAGGCUUAACACAUGCAAGUCGAGCGGAGUGAUGGUGCUUGCACUAUCACUUAGCGGCGGACGGGUGAGUAAUGCUUAGGAAUCUGCCUAUUAGUGGGGGACAACAUCUCGAAAGGGAUGCUAAUACCGCAUACGUCCUACGGGAGAAAGCAGGGGAUCACUUGUGACCUUGCGCUAAUAGAUGAGCCUAAGUCGGAUUAGUUAGUUGGUGGGGUAAAGGCCUACCAAGGCGACGAUCUGUAGCGGGUCUGAGAGGAUGAUCCGCCACACUGGGACUGAGACACGGCCCAGACUCCUACGGGAGGCAGCAGUGGGGAAUAUUGGACAAUGGGGGGAGCCCUGAUCCAGCCAUGCCGCGUGUGUGAAGAAGGCCUUAUGGUUGUAAAGCACUUUAAGCGAGGAGGAGGCUCUUUUGGUUAAUACCCAAGAUGAGUGGACGUUACUCGCAGAAUAAGCACCGGCUAACUCUGUGCCAGCCGCCGCAGUAA